CUGACUUCAGCCUCAAGCCGAUAAGGAGGAAAAGAGCUUGGCAGUUUAAAGAUGCUCAAUGACUGUAGGAAGAAGAUACUGGAUUUUCAAAAUAACAUUUGAUGAAAGCAAUUGCCAUGCAGUGAUGAGAACAGGUUUGGGAGGCUCAAGACCUGGUGUGACAUCCUGACUCCAAUUGGUGUAAGCUGCAUUGCUCUGCUCAAAUGAUUCAAACACUAUAAACUGCAGUUGCACAUUGGUAAUACCUACUUCAUUGGUAUGUAAGAUUUGAAAAUGUUCAUAAACCACCAAGCACUAUGUAAGCAUUAGUUAUUCUUAUUAUGACUUUUUUAUUCCUUCUAUAGGGAAAAGAGUGCUAGAAGUUAUAGCUAGGAAUUCUAGUUACUAUACAAUUCCAUAAACGAUAUUGUGAAAAAGCUUAAAUUCUAAGAUCAAA
rnacentral:lncRNA from 10 species